rnacentral:lncRNA from 1 species
AGAGAGACCUGAGUUCGUAAACUCGUGUCGUUUCCUCUUCCAACUUGAUUUACCAUUUUUUUUUUCUUUUAAAAAAAAAAACAGAAAGAGCUCGCGUCUCUCUCUCUCUCUGUGAAAACUGGAAGCCCUAAUUCAUAAAAAUUCCUGGAUCAAAUCAAAUAUUUAGGUUGGAUGGAGGUAUGUGUGAUCAUGUCGUGUUUUUCUGCUUGAAUAUUCAUCUUGUUUUCAAUAAAUAAAUAAAGAAUAUUGAUCUUGUACCAGAAAGAAGACAAAGGAGGAAGAGAUGGAAAACAUGUGACUUUGGUGGGUACUUCAACUUCUAUAGGCAUUUUCAUUUGUAUUUCAC